GGAGAUAUGGCCGAGCGGUCUAAGGCGCCAGCUUAAGGUGUUACAUUAUGUACCACUUGAUGGUACAAGUGUGAUUCGCUGGUCCGAAAGGGCGUGGGUUCAAAUCCCACUGUCUUCA
rfam:Microbotryum lychnidis-dioicae p1A1 Lamole unplaced genomic scaffold supercont1.63, whole genome shotgun sequence.